AAGAAAAUGAGGUCUCUGGCCUUGAUCUCAAGUAAGGUUUGGAAACAUUCAUUCAUUACACGGAUAUCUAUCAAGAUCCUGCUACGUGCCUGGCCCUAAAGCCAGUGCCGGUGACAUGUUUUCUCUCUCUAAGUCAGUAAGCCUCCCUCGGCCCUAGUAUUCUGCUGAUGAAAGUCCCACCGCGUCCUCUGUCUCUCCUAGAUGACCGUCCUGGCGUCCUGGGGCCUGUCCAGCCCACCCGAGCCGCGGCCAUGCCUCCCGGGGUGUGCGGGGAGGGGUGCAGACCCCUCCGAGCCCAGGCACCCCUCUUCCGUACCUUACCGCUGAACGUCACUGCUGGCCAGCCCUCCCGCCCCACCCGGCUCUGGGGCCACAGGAAGUCCGAAUGCUGGUGGCGAGGCCCAGCAUGGCCCUGACCGGCUGGGCGGCCUUGCCAAGGUCAUGUGGCGUCUCUGGGCAGGGCCUGGGAGCAGGGAGGCACGCCCACCCCGCUGGUCUACACACGCAGAGGGGGCGUGGCCCUUCCUCCAGCCUGAGUCCCCUGGAGAGGCUGUCUCCACCGUCACUGCACAUGGGCCGCGCACAGAGCGGCUUCCUUCUUGGCAGCGUCCGGCUUUCCGGCUUUGGCUCCUGAUCCCGGAAAGUGGGGGACACCGCUGCCCUGGGCACAGCCUCCCCGGGCCUGGAAAACCGGAUGGAGAGUGCAGUGACCGGCCUCCGCCCCCUCCCAGGGCCGACCGCCUCCCAGCCCUGGGAGCGGGGCAGCUGGGGGAGCCCAGGGUAAGGCCGGCCGCCUGGCUCUUGUAGUCCUGGCUCGUGCCGUGUGCCAACGUGCAAGCCAUUCACGCUCCCGGGCCUCCGUUUCCUCCUCUGUGAAACCAGAAAGGGGAGACCUACGACCAGGUUUAGAAGGAAUCACGUCCCCGCACAUACGGGUGCUGGGAAGGUGCGGUGUCCCCUAGAGAGGCCACCGAAGUCAACUGGUCAGACCACACCAGCAUCUCUGUUAGUGUAUCAGAAUCCGACCGACGGCGUGCAGAUCCUGGACGGGAAACGUUGUAACUGUGCAAGAGGAAACAGCAACAUCCUAACUCCAUUCCGCUGAAGAUAACGGCUCUCCCCGUGUUCUGCAGCCCUAAUGGCUUCGACGAUGCCAAACUACCAGGUGGUGCCACUGACAGCGUGGGGACCCGCUGGUCCAGGGGACAUCGCUCAAAGUGAGGCGAGCCACCCACUCCUCGUGGGACGUGGAGGAGGAAUAAAAUCUGGAGGUUCCCUCGCUGACCUGACAUACAACGCCCAGGGCUCGUCACCGUGCCCCCAUCCAGCCCGUCAGCCCCCGGAGAGUCCUCUCUGUUGAGAGUCCCGUACGGUUUGAGGGCGCCUGGGUGGCUCAGUCUGUUAAGCCUCUGACUCUUGAUUUCGGCUCAGGUCAUGAUCUUACGG